rnacentral:sRNA from 1 species
CCUAACCGACCCCACCGCCUGCCCACUGCCGGGACACGGCACGAACCCGAUCGCCAGCGGUUCGCCCAACGU